rnacentral:rRNA from 1 species
GCUACACAUGCAAGUCGAGCGGGGAAGAGUAGCUUGCUACUUGACCUAGCGGCGGACGGGUGAGUAAUGCUUAGGAAUCUGCCUAUUAGUGGGGGACAACAUCUCGAAAGGGAUGCUAAUACCGCAUACGUCCUACGGGAGAAAGCAGGGGACCUUCGGGCCUUGCGCUAAUAGAUGAGCCUAAGUCGGAUUAGCUAGUUGGUGGGGUAAAGGCCUACCAAGGCGACGAUCUGUAGCGGGUCUGAGAGGAUGAUCAGCCACAUUGGGACUGAGACACGGCCCAAACUCCUACGGGAGGCAGCAGUGGGGAAUCUUGCACAAUGGAGGAAACUCUGAUGCAGCGAUGCCGCGUGAGUGAAGAAGGCCCUUGGGUUGUAAAGCUCUUUCGUCGGGGAAGAAAAUGACUGUACCCGAAUAAGAAGGUCCGGCUAACUUCGUGCCAGCAGCCGCGGUAAUACGAAGGGACCUAGCGUAGUUCGGAUUUACUGGGCGUAAAGCGCGCGUAGGUGGCCAAUUAAGUCAAAUGUGAAAUCCCCGAGCUUAACUUGGGAAUUGCAUUCGAUACUGGUUGGCUAGAGUAUGGGAGAGGAUGGUAGAAUUCCAGGUGUAGCGGUGAAAUGCAUAGAGAUCACACAGAAUACCGAUUGCGAAGGCAGAUUACUAACAAUAUACUGACGCUGAGGGACGAAAGCGUGGGUAGCGAACAGGAUUAGAUACCCUGGUAGUCCACGCCGUAAACGAUGGAUACUAGCUGUUCGACCAACAUUGGUUGGUUGAGUGGCUAAGCGAAAGUGAUAAGUAUCCCACCUGGGGAGUACGGUCGCAAGACUGAAACUCAAAGGAAUUGACGGGGGCCCGCACAAGCGGUGGAGCAUGUGGUUUAAUUCGAUGAUACGCGAGGAACCUUACCAGGCUUAAAUGUAAGUUGCAUGAUUUAGAGAUAGAUCUUUCUUCGGACUACUUACAAGUGCUGCAUGGUUGUCGUCAGCUC